GACGAACGCUGGCGGCGUGCUUAACACAUGCAAGUCGAACGGAAAGGCCCUGCUUUUGUGGGGUGCUCGAGUGGCGAACGGGUGAGUAACACGUGAGUAACCUGCCCUUGACUUUGGGAUAACUUCAGGAAACUGGGGCUAAUACCGGAUAGGAGCUCCUGCUGCAUGGUGGGGGUUGGAAAGUUUCGGCGGUUGGGGAUGGACUCGCGGCUUAUCAGCUUGUUGGUGGGGUAGUGGCUUACCAAGGCUUUGACGGGUAGCCGGCCUGAGAGGGUGACCGGCCACAUUGGGACGGAGAUACGGCCCAGACUCCUACGGGAGGCAGCAGUGGGGAAUAUUGCACAAUGGGCGGAAGCCUGAUGCAGCAACGCCGCGUGCGGGAUGACGGCCUUCGGGUUGUAAACCGCUUUCGCCUGUGACGAAGCGUGAGUGACGGUAAGGGGUAAAGAAGCACCGGCUAACUACG
rnacentral:rRNA from 1 species